GCUUAAGUAUUUUAAAUAAAAUACUGUUUUGUGGGAUCAGUGAUAUGAAUUAUUCAUCUUAGGCC
rnacentral:tRNA from 1 species